GUGAGCCGCAAGCCGACACCCCCCGCCUCACAACAGUGUGUGAGUGUGUGUUCAGCGCUGUGCUCCGAGGAACUCUACGAGGAGAAGAGAUCCAAACCGACAGAGAGGCGACUCCGAAAAAAGCAAAGGAUCCCAGUCCACCUGUUAGUCUCCACAAAUAAAUCCGGCAUGGCACGAGGCGAUAACGAAGAGUGGGACGAAAAGCACCCGGACACGAGGCAAACCCAGCCGCAGAGCUUCAAGGACACGGAGAGCGUGAAGUCCAAGAAGGGCUGCCCCAAGUGCUGCCUGAAGACGAGGGACUGCCUGAUGAGCGGCGAGUGCGGCAGGGCCCUGCAGAUCUCCAGCGUUAUCGCCAUGUGCGGGAUGUGCAUCCGUAUGUUUGUGUAGACUAACUAACCUUGGACAUCAGGACCAGCUUGUACAGGCUUUGUUUAUUUCCCAGCAUCCUGCGGCGUGCGUCAUGCCAUAUGGUUUUUCUUUCUUUCCAUUUCAUCAGCGACGGUUCUUUAGUUUGCUGUCCACAAGUUACAGUAGUUAACAUAUCAAAAAAAACAACUUUUCUGUUCCUGUGAAGAAAUGGAGGAAACCAACAAGAAAGGGAAUAUUCAGAUGCACAUUAGCGCCAGUGGAUUUAUGUGGAUUAAAUCUGCUCGUCUUUGUAAAGAGCUUUAUUUGGAUUCUUUGAAACUGAUUGAUCACCUCUGAUUAAUCAAGUUGACCCAGUAUUUGCUCGCUGCAGAUGUUGUGAUGUGUUUAUAGUUGAGAGGUAAUUUAAAAUAAUUGUAAAUGUGAUAGUAAUAAAAGGUGAGUGACCCAGA